CCACACACCUGGCAGGAAAAAUACCAUGACAGUGAAGGUGGGUUUUCCCAGGGUGCCACUCGUCCAUUGCAUCCAGCUGUGCUGCAGACUCCUGCAACUUCUCCAAAUGUGGGAGACGACUGCACAUCUGUACCAGUGGGGAGCUGUGCCCCGCCCUCUCUG